rnacentral:tRNA from 9 species
UCCGCGGUAGCUCAAUGGCAGAGCAUGCGGCUGUUAACCGCAGGGUUGUAGGUUCGAGCCCUACCCGCGGAGCUA